rnacentral:tRNA from 1 species
GCAAUCGUCCCAUAAUGGUAUUGGAACUCCCUGCUAAGGAGUCGGUCGUUUCUUCGGCUUACAGGUUCAAUCCCUGUCGAUUGCG